rnacentral:rRNA from 1 species
UACGGGGGGGGCAAGCGUUGUUCGGAAUUACUGGGCGUAAAGGGCUCGUAGGCGGCCAACUAAGUCAUACGUGAAAUCCCCCGGCUUAACCGGGGAACUGCGUCUGAUACUGGAUGGCUUGAGUUCGGGAGAGGGAUGCGGAAUUCCAGGUGUAGCGGUGAAAUGCGUAGAUAUCUGGAGGAACACCGGUGGCGAAGGCGGCAUCCUGGACCGAUACUGACGCUGAGGAGCGAAAGCCAGGGGAGCAAAACAGGG